GGACUGUGGCUCAGCGGGAGAGCGCUCUCCUAGCAUGUGUGAGGCCCUGGGUUCGAUCCUCAGUACCA
rnacentral:tRNA from 1 species